GUUAUUUUAUUUUACAUCAAUACUCAGUGUACACUCUUGGCUGUCUCUUUUCAUCCGAGUAUUGGACACACCGUCGACGGAGGAAGCUCACCGUAUAUCCUGCAAGCGGGGAUCAAACCGCUGUACGCCUUUUAUACCGGAGCAAGUCUUACGCUCUGGCAAAUGUGAGUUUUAGUUCAACUUUUUAUUAUUCUUAAUCUUUCAGUUUUAAG